rnacentral:rRNA from 1 species
GGCCGCGGGAAUUCGAUUCAGGCCUAACACAUGCAAGUCGAACGAUGAAGCAAGAGCUUGCUCCGGUGGAUUAGUGGCGAACGGGUGAGUAACACGUGAGCAAUCUGCCCUUGACUCUGGGAUAACUGCGGGAAACUGUAGCUAAUACCGGAUACGAGACUUAGAGGCAUCUCUGAGUCUGGAAAGAAUUUCGGUCAGGGAUGAGCUCGCGGCCUAUCGGCUAGUUGGUGAGGUAAUGGCUCACCAAGGCGACGACGGGUAGCCGGCCUGAGAGGGUGACCGGCCACACUGGGACUGAGACACGGCCCAGACUCCUACGGGAGGCAGCAGUGGGGAAUAUUGC